UGUGCAGUGAGUGUGUGAGGCGCGUGCAUGUGCGCGUGCAAGGGGCGUGCGUAAGUUGCGUGCGUGUGCGCGUGCAUGUGCGCGUCCAAGGCGAGUGUAUGCGUGAGGCGCGUGCGUGUGCAGUGCGAGUGCGCGUGCGCGCGCCCGCCGUUCCCCCCCCCCCCGGGCUCUACACAUUGAUCUUAUUCGAUCGGCCUUGGCCGAGAUGAGAAGAGCAUCGCCGCGAAGCCCCCUCCCCCCCCCCCGGGGGCGCUGUGCGCGCGGCCGCGCGGGCGGGAUGAGUCGAUCAGAUAGGCGAGGCCUUGAGGCCGCUGAGCUGCUGCGAGUCUGACCCGC
ensembl:scaRNA